CAAAUUUUCGAGGCUAAAGACCUAGAUGGGACGUAAGUGCGGAUCGACGCACAAGACACGGACGGACCUUGUCCUCUCGUCGCUGUCGGAACUUCAUGUUUUAUUUCAAUUUGGGAUCUUACUUGGAAUUUGUUGUCGUUAAUGGAAUUAGGAAUCGGCCACAACAACAACGUGACCAAGGAGACUAGUCAAAGUUAGCACAACAUUGUUUGUCUAACGCCAGAGCUUGGAGUUUUCCACCUUCUUGAAAUUCCACUUUAUCAUGGAUGGAUGGUUGAUCCACAGAUAUGCAUUUCAAGAUUCCUAUUUUGUCGAAAUUCAAAGUUUUGGUGAAGUAUUAUUUCCCAUUCUGGACAGUCAGCUGGAGAUUAUCUUUUCUUAGAGGAUUCUGAUACUGCAAAGGCGUUGGGAUCGAAGCCUUACAACGCACUUCUUGAAGAGGUUGCUAACUACUACGCAAGAAAUGCCCGGGGAGAAGAAAAGAACGUCCUACAAGAAGAUUGUGG